UGCUAUCCGCUUUAACAAUGA
rnacentral:piRNA from 1 species